ensembl:lncRNA
GGACAACAUAAACAGACUCCAAUCUGACGUGGAAGGAAAAGACUCUGAGGUGUUUGCCCUCAGUAAGAGCUCAAGGCAUCAGAACAGAAAUUGAGCAUGGCUCCGGAGGAGCUGGCUGCUAAUUGAACUCAUCAGUCAGACUUGGAGUUUCACGUACAGGACUUGUAAUCAGGCGGAAGCUUGCUGGAGCAGGAGGUCGUCAGACUUGACGCAAAGCUCCAACAGCAGGAGUAAACCCUGAAAGACCAUACAGAAGCAAAAGGGUCAAGUUACAAGGAGAAGCUGCAGGCAGCUGCAACAACGGAUGAAAACAGACCCAAAGAGGAGGGGAGGACCCUAGGCCAUGCGUCAGGCCGCUGGUUUACCUAAACUACAGAACAGGAAGGUGAUGAACACAAACAUACACCAACACACGAAUACACACUUCUGCAUGUGCCUACUUAGAAUGAAGGGAAACACACACAUGAACACUUAUGCACUUGUUGAGGGAGUAAAAACUGAUACAUACCCAUGCACUAAAAUCAAAAUGUUGAUUUAAUUUACUAAGAAGUGACACACAAUGCUCCAGCUGCUGCAAUGAAGAAUGCUUUACUGACAAAGGCUCAAUGCUGCACACGACAACGUCAAAUACAGAAUUUGCUAUAAUAAUAAGUCCAGAGGGUAUUUGUGUGGUCUGGGGAGCAGAGUCCGGAGCGGUUUGGUUAUGAAAACGAUGCCCGUGCGAGAUAUCCGGGGCUUAAGGCCUCGACUUAAUUGUUUACUGUACACUAAAAAGAAAAGAAAACACUCUGAGCAGUGGUGCAGAGUGAAAACGAGGAAUUAACAGUGUGAGUUUUAUUUCAGAGCGCCAUGUCAUUGUGAUGGAGAUUUAAUAAAGGAGGAACACACGGACAAAGAAGAAGAGAAGGGGGGACAGCCCUUGAGCACGAUUGCCUGAGGCAUUAAAGUUCUGUACUAAAUUCUGGUUUCCAGUGUGAGAAAAAGUCACGCAGUGCCAGUAGUAGAGCUAGGUUGAGUGAUGAUUCUAAAUUACUGUAAGGAAAUCAUCGUACACCGUUCAAGUUUCAUGAUAACGGGGAUCUAGACUUUGUUGAACCCUAGGCAAUUUGAACAGGUAAAAUUCGAGUGACCAAGUAGCAGUUGAAUAAAAGUCAUUGAAUAAGUGUUGAAAUAAACUGGCAGAAUUAAGAGAAUUAAAACAUUUCAAGAGCUCAAAUUACUUAAUGGUUCAAUUUUGUUUCACGAACGCAAAACAUAUAGGUUUAUGAAUAUGAAAAGGUUGAGGUGGUGUUGAUUUGACUCUGUGUAGGUUUAGGUUUGGUAUUUUUAUUGAUGGGAGGGAUAUUCAGUGACAAGUCCUAAGACCCGGGCGUCUGCAUUUUGUUUUUGUUAUUUUUCAUUUUAUUUUGUUUUAUAUUUUGAACAGUGCACUGAUUUUUGUUUGUGAAUCUUUUCUUUAAGCAGAUCUGCACAACGGAAAUUACAAGCAUUACACGUCGGCGAGAAAAUUGUUGUAAGUGAGUUUCUCCGCAUUGAAAUGGGUUCUGGAGGAAACACUUGUGGGGACAAUUAGAAACAAGAGUCCCUGUUUAAAAAAGGAUUCAGCGAGGUAAUCCAAAUUCAAGUUCUUGUUUUCUUUUUGAGAUGACGUCAUUUUGCUGAGUGUGGAAACUAAAUGCGACGACAGGUUUCACUAUCAGCAAAGAAAGAAAGAAUGGAUGAAUGGAUGAAAGACUGGAAAUAAAAACAAACGGACUGACUGGUAAAAGAUGACCAGACUUGACCAUGACUCAAGGUUAACCACCUCCACCUAGAUAGGAUAAAAGGGUGGAUGAAUUUAUGUGUGUUUCUUUUUACAGGAGUAGAAGGAUGACAAAAUAUUCGAGGAUGAGUGAACCUUUAAAUGCCAUUUUUGUGUCUUGUGUUGCUUACAGAGGUAACUGCGCAGCGUUACCAUUUACAUUUUCUUCCCUACAGGGUUACAGUUUUAAUGUUUUUCUAUUACAGGAUUUCUGGGCGGAUCUGCGAAGAGACGGUGUUUAUGGGUUAGGAGUGGGGGAUGCUAUUACACUGUAUUCUGGUGAGAGUGUUGGGGGAGACACACCCUGUCUUGAAAACUGUGAUUCUUUUACAGGAAAUGUUUUAUAGCACCUAUGGAAUGAGGAUGGCUGACUACGGUCAAUGUGCUGCUGAUGUUUGCUUUGCUUUGGUGAGAAGGGUGCAGUAGAAAACAGACAAGUGACAUGAAAACAAGUAAUAAUAACAAAUAACAAAUUUGGGGACAGGUUAACCUAGAGCCCACUAACUGGCCAUUAGGGGCUCUCUCUCUCUUGGAAUAACAUUGCCCAAAGGGUGAAUAAAGCAAAUUCUGGCAAUAAUAGGGGUUUAAUGAUUGGGGAAACCUGAACAUGAUACUUGUCUGUUGUGCUGAACCGUUUAUUACUCUUAUGAUUUGCAGGUGGUUGUAAAUAAGCUGUUUACUUUAACCGGUUUGCUUUUUAGCUGAAUUGCAAAAUACAACUAGAACGAUUGAUUGAGACUAAUCGCUACUAACCUGAAACUGAGGAGGUUCUAUAUAAGGAGGAAGUACAACAGGUAUAAAAUGCAUCUGAUCUUUAAUUGCAGGUGGGACCAUGAAGAUUUUUUGGUACAGAUUGCAAGUUGUUGCUCAUUAUUUGAAGUGUGCUCAUAAAGGCCAAAAGCUAUAUAGGGGGUAUAUCAUUUGGUCUGUGUUUUAAUAAUUUAGGUAUGGCAAAAUUAAAGGUUUCUAGACAAUUUAGGGAACGAGUGAGAAGCAUAAUUAGAUGAUCAGAAUCUGAGUAUUACACUCAAGUUAGAAAGAAUGCCCAAUUUGUUUGAGGUCUGUGGUUCAUUUUUAUACACACCUUGCAAAUGUGCUUAUAAGGAGCUGGCACUG